UUAAGGGUGGUUGUAGACUACGACCUAGAUAGGCUACAGGUGUAAAGGCAGCAAUGUCAUAGCCGAGUAGUACUAAUUGCCCGGACGCUUUCAAUGG
rnacentral:ncRNA from 1 species